GGGCGGCCGAUGUCCGAUUAGCUUGUUGGUGGGGUAAUGGCCCACCAAGGCGACGAUCGGUAGCUGGUCUGAGAGGAUGAUCAGCCACACUGGGACUGAGACACGGCCCAGACUCCUACGGGAGGCAGCAGUGGGGAAUUUUGGACAAUGGGGGCAACCCUGAUCCAGCCAUGCCGCGUGCGGGAAGAAGGCCUUCGGGUUGUAAACCGCUUUUAGCCGGGACGAAAGCUGCACGGAUAACACCCGUGCGGGUUGACGGUACCGGCGGAAUAAGCACCGGCUAACUACGUGCCAGCAGCCGCGGUAAUACGUAGGGUGCGAGCGUUAAUCGGAAUUACUGGGCGUAAAGCGUGCGCAGGCGGUUCGUUGUGUCGGCGGUGAAAGCCCCGGGCUCAACCUGGGAAUGGCCGUUGAAACUGGCGAACUGGAGUGUGGCAGAGGGGGGUGGAAUUCCGCGUGUAGCAGUGAAAUGCGUAGAGAUGCGGAGG
rnacentral:rRNA from 1 species